UUUAACGCGAAGGACCUUACCAGGUCUUGACAUACUAUGCAAAUCUAAGAGAUUAGACGUUCCCUUCGGGGACAUGGAUACAGGUGGUGCAUGGUUGUCGUCAGCUCGUGUCGUGAGAUGUUGGGUUAAGUCCCGCAACGAGCGCAACCCUUAUUAUCAGUUGCCAGCAUUAAGUUGGGCACUCUGGUGAGACUGCCGGUGACAAACCGGAGGAAGGUGGGGAUGACGUCAAAUCAUCAUGCCCCUUAUGACCUGGGCUACACACGUGCUACAAUGGAUGGUACAACGAGUUGCGAACUCGCGAGAGUAAGCUAAUCUCUUAAAGCCAUUCUCAGUUCGGAUUGUAGGCUGCAACUCGCCUACAUGAAGUCGGAAUCGCUAGUAAUCGCGCAUCAGAUCCCCCUACAUGGUUC
rnacentral:rRNA from 3 species